UACGGAGGGUGCAAGCGUUAUCCGGAUUCACUGGGUUUAAAGGGUGCGUAGGCGGGUAUGUAAGUCCGUGGUGAAAUCUCCGAGCUUAACUCGGAAACUGCCAUGGGUACUGCGUAUCUUGAAUGUUGUGGAGGUGAGCGGAAUAUGUCAUGUAGCGGUGAAAUGCUUAGAUAUGACAUAGAACACCAAUUGCGAAGGCAGCUCACUACACAAAUAUUGACGCUGAGGCACGAAAGCGUGGGGAUCAAACAGGAUUAGAUACCCUGGUAGUCCACGCCCUAAACGAUGAUUACUCGACAUACGCGAUACACAGUGUGUGUCUGAGCGAAAGCAUUAAGUAAUCCACCUGGGAAGUACGACCGCAAGGUUGAA
rnacentral:rRNA from 1 species